AUGGCCUUGCCGGCUAUCCCCGACGAGCUCUUGGUAGAAAUCCUCCUCCGCCUUCCCACCCCAGAGGACCUCAUCCGCGCCUCCGCCGCCUGCGUCUCCUUCCGCCGCCUCGUCGCCGACCGCGCCUUCCUCCGGCGCUUCCGCAAGCUCCACCCCGCGCCCCUCCUCGGCUUCCUCGACUACAAAGGAUUCCACCCCGCCGUACCGCCUCACCCCUCCGCGCGGGCGGCCAGCGCCGUCGCCAGCGCCGCCGACUUCGACUUCACCUUCCUCCCCGCCCCCUACUGGGGCUGGACCGUGCGGGAAGUCCGCGACGGCCGCGUCCUCCUCGACAGACCCUGCCGUCACGACGAGUUCGGACCCCUCUUCAAGGAGAUGGUGGUGUGCGACCCCCUGCACCGGCGGUACCUCCUGCUCCCCCCAAUCCCCGAUGACCUAGCCGCUCCGGCUGUGUGCCAAAUCCUGAUAGAAAGGGAUUGCUUCGCCGACUGCUUCCUCGCCCCUUCCGGCGACGAGGAGGAGGCAGAAGCUAUGGAGGAGGAGACUUCAUUCAGAGUUUUCUGGCUGGUGCUGCUCCAAACUAAACGGGCGGUACUUGCCUUCUCUUCCUCCACAGGGCAAUGGCGAGCCAUUACAUCCCUGACUUGCAGCUUACCUGGCUUUGUCUUGUCUACAUGGACGCUUUUGUCCGUGUCGCGCCAUUACGCGCAUGGCUGCUUCUACUGGAUUUCAGGUUUGAGUGAAAAGUUGCUCGUGCUUGACAUCCGGAGGAUGGAGUUCUCCAUGCCUGACCACCCACCAUGUGUCAGAGUUUUGAGGGGUGAUGUAGCCAUCGUGGAGGCAGGCCAAGGCGUGACUGUGAUGUUUGUUCCUAAACCUGACACAUCUCGGCGUGUUUAUACUGUUUGGCGAAACAAUGGUUGGAGUUCCACCCAGUGGCAGAUGGAGAAUGAGGCAUUUUCGCUGGAUUCUGGGUCCUUUAUGAUAGGUGCAGUGGGGAGGCACUUGCUCCUACAUUAUGGCAUGAUCUCAUCGGUCAAGACAGGUUGUUACACGCGGGAUGUCAACACACUCCAGCUUGCGAGGGUGUGUGAUUCAUGUCCCCACCAGUCAGAAGCAUAUUGCAACUUCCCACGAUCGUUAUUAUCGUCACCGACAGUGUCAAGUGUCCCACGCCACACCAACUACCGAGGAGUGGACGACGCUGUGCCGGCACCAGAACCACGACAAUCUGACCCUGGAGGCGUGGAAGGACCUACCGGUCAAGAACCGACGGACCUCGCCAGGGAACUGCCGUGCAAGCGCCGUCGUCUCAGCGGCCGCUCGGGCUCCAGAACCCGUGGAGGCGGGUCGCGAUGGACGGGGAGAAGGAGGCUGAGGCUUGACCCGUGGUGGAUGAGGGGCCAGAUCAAGCUGCUGUCCAGGACUGCUGCGGCCAAGACCUUGGGUGGGAGGGGCUUGCCUAGGGUGUGCUAG
rnacentral:rRNA from 1 species